GAUGAACGCUGGCGGCGUGCCUAAUACAUGCAAGUCGAGCGAACAGAUGCGGAGCUUGCUCCUCUGACGUUAGCGGCGGACGGGUGAGUAACACGUGGAUAACCUACCUAUAAGACUGGGAUAACUUCGGGAAACCGGAGCUAAUACCGGAUAAUAUAUUGAACCGCAUGGUUCAAUAGUGAAAGACGGUUUUGCUGUCACUUAUAGAUGGAUCCGCGCCGCAUUAGCUAGUUGGUAAGGUAACGGCUUACCAAGGCAACGAUGCGUAGCCGACCUGAGAGGGUGAUCGGCCACACUGGAACUGAGACACGGUCCAGACUCCUACGGGAGGCAGCAGUAGGGAAUCUUCCGCAAUGGGCGAAAGCCUGACGGAGCAACGCCGCGUGAGUGAUGAAGGUCUUCGGAUCGUAAAACUCUGUUAUUAGGGAAGAACAAAUGUGUAAGUAACUAUGCACGUCUUGACGGUACCUAGUCAGAAAGCCACGGCUAACUACGUG
rnacentral:rRNA from 1 species